ACCCGGAAACUAAUCCCAUCACCAUAAAACCCAAGACUGCAAGCCAGAGCCAGAGCUAUUCUCCAGGGUUCCCUUACUCCUGCUCUCCACCGGGGCGCCCUUUCCUGAUAAAAUCUCUCGCUCUGUCAGCACAUGUGUCUCCUCAGGCAAUUCAUUUCCAAGUGUUAGACAAGAGCCCAGUUUCGGGCCCUGGAAGGGGUCCCCCUUCCUGCAACAGACCUAACCAAGUCUGGAGUUGAGGAUUCCCUAAUAAAGAGACUCUUAAGUUGAAGCCUAAAGAAAGAACAGCUUUUAAGCUGGUGCAGAAAGGAUAGAGAAAGACAGCUGAGGGGAAGAGUGGUAUACACUUGAGAAAUGGAGAUUAAAUAUAACGCAGCUGGAAAAAGUAAGCGAUGAAGCUGAAGAGAAGGCCAAGGGACUCUCAAGAGUCUUCCCACUGCUCUGCGAGGCUUGUAGUAAGGAGAACAGGGGAGAGAUGCUGUGGAAAACAAACAAGAGGACGUGCUGAUCCCCCAGAGUCCUUGCAGUUUCAAGAAUCUGAAGAGGCUCUGGAUGGGAAUGCCUUACCCUUCCCUGAAAAUAUGUCUGUGCCUGCCAGUAGGAGCUGACACAUUGCCCUGGUAUUCCUUUCCCAUCUCUGUAAGGCAAAAGGGUGCUAGUAAAUCAUGUGGACAAGCCUCAGAUAAGCUGGUAUUUGUUUUUGGGACAUUUUUCAAGCCUGGGGCCAAGACUGUACAACAGUAAGUUCAUUUCAAUGGAGUUCCUGGAGAGAGGGUUCCAGAUGUAGUCUGGACUGCCGUUCCGAAGUCCAGCAAAGUUGAGGAGAAGGAAGUCUUCAAAGCCCACUGCUCAGAGAACAGCUGCGCCCACUGAAGCAAGAGGCUGCUCUCCCCAACAAUGGGGGUGCCGCGGCGGGGGAGGUGGGAGUUGCUUGGUAAACUGGAGCGGCAGAAGUGCCAGCCUGGGCCACCCCCAGCAGAAUAUAAUCUCCAUGAACGAGGGCAGAGGCCUCUUCUGGUUUUGCUCACAAUGUCUCCAGCAUCUAUGUGCACAAGUUAUAAUUACUGUUCAGUAAAUAUUUGUGGGAUGCAUGAAUGAAGGAGGCAGAAAGACUGGGCACCACAAAAAUCCUUUUGAAUAAAAAGGGGAGUUUUGGAAAGGGUUACAUCUGCUCCUGUCAUGUUAAGUUUUCCUAGGAGAUGUUUCUAAUUCUACUGAAACUCCAGGUUGCUGUGGCCUGGAGAAGAAAAUGAGUCUCUAAAGUCUUUUUUUUCUGCUAUAUAUGACAAAGCAAAAGGGGGGAGGGCUUCAAUAAAAAAUUAUGGGGCCUAGUGUGAGCCAAAUAUGAUGCUAGACAGGAGAUGAAAAACUAAGAUAAAGACUCCUGGACACAGAGCUAUAU